GAAAUAACUUGCUAGGAGGCCUAUCCCUCUGGACUUCUUACGUGUCUCAUGCCAGAUCAAACUGUGAUCCUGAACCAUUGCCUGACCUCUGUGCCUGUAGGUUGCUGGAACUGAAGUGGGUUGCACAGUG
rnacentral:snoRNA from 1 species